rnacentral:rRNA from 1 species
AGAGGGUGCGAGCGUUAAUCGGAAUUACUGGGCGUAAAGCGUGCGUAGACGGUUAUUUAAGUCAGAUGUGAAAGCCCCGGGCUCAACCUGGGAAUUGCAUUCGAGACUGAAUAGCUAGGGUGCGGUAGAGGGAAGCGGAAUUUCCGGUGUAGCGGUGAAAUGCGUAGAUAUCGGAAGGAACAUCAGUGGCGAAAGCGGCUUCCUGGACCAGCACCGACGUUCAGGCACGAAAGCGUGGGGAGCAAACAGGAUUAGAUACCCUGGUAGUCCACGCCAUAAACGAUGAGGACUAGACGUUGGAGGGGUAAGCCUUUCAGUGUCGUAGCUAACGCGCUAAGUCCUCCGCCUGGGGAGUACGGCCGCAAGGUUG